ensembl:miRNA sha-mir-30e sha-mir-30e
UUCCAGCUCUCUUUGGGCAGUCUUUGCCACUGUAAACAUCCUUGACUGGAAGCUGUAAGGUGCUUGGAGGAGCUUUCAGUCGGAUGUUUACAGCGGCAGGCUGCCACAGGCAUCCCAGCCACAAGUAGGGUGGGAAGCAGUGCUGCCUCA